UUUGCAUAAUGUCUCAUGACUGGAAUAUGCAAAUGAGUUGUAUAAUUUAUGAGUGCCAGUGUCUGUCUAAAAGUGUUUCCCAGAAUUUAUAAAAACUGCAGCGUGGAGAGGCAGCUGCUGGCUGCCCUGCCAGGAGGGUCCACACUUGCUUUGCAAAGUCCGCCUGAGUCUGGGAGUGCAAACGUCUGGGAAUGGGAGCGGAUCCCCCCUUCCCACCCUGUCCUCUUGCUUUAUUUAUUUCCCAUUACUCCCUCCACCACGCUCCCACCUGCUCCCCUCGAACUUCUCUGAGGAGGCCGGGCCCGGGCAGCGGGCCGGACGGACGGGCUGGAUGGACGGGCAGCCCCACAGGUGGCUCAGCCGGGCUCCCUCGCGUCCCUGGGGCUGUCACCGGCCGCAGAGCCCGGCGCUGCUCAGGUGAGCGAGCUCACGGGCACGGUGUGCGCUCAGGAGCCGCCCGGAGCCCCUCAGCGCCCGCAGAGGGAUGGAUUCCUGCUGGUUUGCUCUGUGCCAGCUCCAUCCCUGCUCGGAUCUGAGCCCUGUGACCCUGGGGACAGCUGCAGGCUCAGCGCAGGGCUGGCACUGCCAGCCGAGGGACCCGGAGGGUCCUGCCCAACGCCACGGUGUCAGCACUGGAAAGGCUCUGGAAUAUCCGGACAUUCAGGCAGAGUUCUCCUGUGGUUCCUCACCUGUGGCAUUGGAAGAAUUCCCUGCAGCUCCAUCCUUGAGACUUCCUGGGGCCUUUGUGUGCAGGACUUGCUCUCUGGCCCUCAAUGAGAUAAAUUGUCUGAAACACAGAUCCAGGGCCUUGGAUCUGUGGCUCCUCUGUGCCUGGGGCUCCCCAGCAGAGCACAGUGAGCCAUACUGGCAUUGCCUGUUGUUAUCAUUUCCAACAAGGGUUCCCAUUCAGCUUAGAGUCACUCCACCUCCUGCUUCCAUGCUUCCAGUACCGAUGCUGUUUGAGCAGUAGGAUACAGAGAGCCCCCAGGAAGCUGCAGCUUCCUUGCCACCUCUCCUGGGCAAGGCAUGCACCAUCAGGCAAUGCCAGCCUCGGCUGGAUGGAUAAUCCCAAUUUUCCACUCCUGUUGAUGCCAAGCUCUGUGGCAGUGGCAGCUGCUGAUGCCGAUGCAAUGACCCACAUUCUGAGCUGGCAGCUCUUUCCCUGCCUUACUUAGUCUUCCAGAAGGAGGGUGACAUACAGACAGACUCUAAGCACUGUCUGAGCAGGUCCAUGAGGGCACCAGUGUGCCAGCAAAGAGCAUCAGCCAUUGGCAUCACAUCACCAGCCUCGGCACACCUGAUGGAUGUGCCCAGCAUUAGGAACAGCAUUAGGAACAGCUUGCCUGCAUGGGCCUUUUUGCCUGAUGGUUAUAGUUAAAAACAGUUCUAAGCAAAGCGUGUAAAAUCUUUAAAUCUUUAACAAAUCUCUCAUAAUUCCCAGCUAAAUAGAUUAAAGCUGACUGCAGGCUUUAAAAAGAAGCAAGCUGAUCACUUGCAGGACAGAGAAAAUAAAUAAAAUUAAAACAAUCACAGUGUAAAUGUGCAGCUCCCAUGUUCCUGGUGCAGAUAAAAUUAGGGUGGCAGGAUGGCAGCCAGACCACUGGUGCUGGUUUGAUGGAGGCAAAGAUUCAGUGAGAUGAGGCAAUACAGCACAAUUCUGUAUCCAAAGAAUUACUCAAAAGCAUCAAAGAUGCUGCAGGCAGAUUUUAUCAGGAUGCUGCACACCUGGGGAACAAAGUGGUGCUGUGUGGACAGCUUCUUCAGCAAAACAGGACAGGCUGCUGAAUUCCCAGGCAGAAAUCAGGAUCCUUGUUAAGAUUCAUCCUGGUGUUAAGGUCCUGAGCAUCAGACCAGCCUGUUUGUGGCUCUGGUACUCUCUUCACAGUGCUCACUGCAGCUGAUGUGUGUUUGUAAAGAUAGCUCAGAUUGGAAAUUAUAUGGUUAAAUAUCUUGGCUCAGUGGAAUUCAGCCACUUAGACUUUUCUUCAGUGACUGAAGGAGCAGAUUUUGUAGGAUUAGGCUCCUAUCUGGAGAGAUCUGGUGUUUCUGUUCCUUAGAACCAUGUGUUCCUUUCUUAAGUGUGUAUUUCAGUGUAAGGUAGAGGAGCAGCACUGGCUGCAGCUGUCACACACAGGUGGAAGCCCUCCAGCCAAGCCAGCAGUGCUGCUGCAGGUGAUCCCUGCGGUGACUCGGCAGUGCCAGUCAGUGCCAGCUGCUGCUCCCCUGUCUGCCUGCUCACACGCUGCCUGUGGCUCCUGCUGCCCAGGCUCUCUGUCGCCCUUUCUCCUGCUUUGCCCAGCCUAGUGGUGCCCACUCGCUUUGCCAGCUCAGUGAUUCUGUUUGCUUUGCUUUGCCGCUGUCACUGUGCUGUCCCCAGACCCAGCGCUGGGACUUUCUGCUCCAGUACCUACAGAUGUGUCUCAAAGGAAGCACCAUGAUGACCCCUGCUACAAACCACAGCAGGAUCUCCUGCUGCUGCCAUCAUACACUUGAAUGGAAGCACUGGUGUUUGAUCCUGAAGAUCUGGGAUAGCAGCAGGUUCUUGGGGGUUGGUGGUGAGCCAGAGAAAAGGGUGAUGCAGGACAAAUCUUCUGAAGGGACAAAGGCUGCUCACACUCACGAGCGUAUGCCCAGAGAAGGGGGAUUUGGCACUCCCCCACUUUGGCAGGUGGUGUUUGGCUCUUUGAGAGCAGCUGAGAUUUGGGAGGGUUUUGCAAACUGGGUGGGUGGUCACGUCCCUUGUCCCUCUCCCAUCCUGUGAGGUGAGCAGAACAGACCUGGCACAGGUGACUCAGCCUGGGUCCUCACUGCUCAGAGAGCUUUAAUGGCAGAAGGAAGAAGCUGAAGUUUCCAAAGCUGCCCCAGAAAAGGGCUCCUAAAAUGGUGACACUUCUGUUCUAAUGAAGUUCAGGAUGGAGAUGGCUCAAAACAAGGAUGGGAGGGUACCCUGCCUUAGCCCAACUCUGCCAAAAUGACAAGAGGUUCAUGUUGUUGCUCUCAGGUGACCGUAGAAUAUUGUACUCAGAUACUGUACUGAGGUGACAUCUGCUCCCCUUCCUCCCAAACAGGCAGCUUCCUCACCCUACAGACUGCCCCAGGGCACAAUAAGUAGGUUAAUGCCUGCUUUAGGGGUAGCCUGAGGGUGAGGGCUCUCUGCAGCAAUAGCAGAGUGAGGUUUCCUCUGUGCCUGUGUGAGUUCAUGUGUAGGGAUGCUCCAAGGCAAAUGAAUUCCUACUGCUCCCAUUGCAUCACUGUGUGCCUCUUCCUCCUUCUUUGGGAUGGUGAUGCUCCUUGGGAUGACAGAGCUUUGAUUUUAGUUCUGCCAGGCUCAUAUGCUUUCCUUUGCAUGGUUUUUCCAUUUGUCAUUUGUUCUUCCAUUUCCCUGCUUCCCAGUCCUCAUUCUGGCCAGGCAGGGAGUGGGAGCUCCAAUGGUUGUGUUGGCCAUGCCUCAUGCUUCUCAUGCCUGUUUCUUCUAUGGCCAGACUGGCUUCCAGAAAGGAAAACAAACCAAAACAUGUCAUUCGUUUUGAAUUACAAAUCUGGGUGUUCAAAAUGCAUGAAAUGAGAAAUUUCAGGUGCUUACUGCAACAUGAAUCCACCUGUGUUGGACAUGAGUGGCAUUUCCUAUUUAUGCUCAGACUCUUGAAUACAAAGUUAAAACAGAUGUCAAGGCAGUUGUGGAUGGGGAAAAUAGCAUCAGGUUGGAGAACAGGGAGGGUUUGGUGUGUUCAUCAUUACAGACUUUGGCUGUAGCAAAGGAAAGUUAAAGAGGUGCCUAGAACCAGGUAUUCAAAAUUAAUUUCUUAUUUGUAUAGUAAUGUGUGAAGUUCCUGUGUUUAAUUUGCAUGUAAAUAUUGACUUAUAUUGUUACAUAAAAGUAGUAUUGACAUUUUCCCAUGGAAAGAUUCUCUUUUUGAUUGCUUGACAUUUCUUGGCCUACAUUCCCAAACCACAGGACCUGCCAUGCUGGUGUGACUCAGCCCAGCCUCAGGUGUGAGUGCCUGUUCUUUGGUGGCCUGCUGUGUGCACAGAUCCUGCAAUGGAAAUGGAUCAGCAUGUGGCAAACAUGGUGGGUGCUUGUCAUGUGAGGGGUUCCUCACCCCUCUGUUGUGGAACCUGAAAGUGUUGGUGGAUGGCAAGCAGUGGCUCCAGAGCUGCCUGGAGUGGCCUGGGGUGGCCUUUAGUGCCAGAUGCAGCCACAGGGGUGGAGUGGUGGUUGUGUCACUGGAGGCAGCACACAGGCCAGGAUCCUUGCAGACAGCUCCUUGUCGUCCGCAGCCAGAGCAGGAAUGUAUUUCUUUGUGGAAUUGCUGAGCACUCACAGCUUUGCAUUAAACAUACAAAGUGCUAUAAAGUUGUUAAGUGCAUCACAAAUUAGAGCUAGACGCCUUGAACCAAAAUUAGAGGACAAGUCUUGCUCUUGAGUCUCUCUGUGUCUUUACUUGGCACUUGGAAAGUGCAGAUGAUGAAACUUUUUUCUUGCAAGGGUGUUGAGAUUAGGGACUGCCUUUGGAGAAUGAGAGUGAUGAAUGUCAUAGAAAUGUCACAAGCAGAUUAAUAGCAAAGUUCUGUGAGAGGUUUGAAAAGUGGGCACUAAAUGCAAGUUGGAGCUGGAGCCACACACUGAGCUGUGGUAGGAAGCACUGACUGAUGCCUUUUCUGUGCAUGUAUGAAUUAAUAAGUACAGGAUAGUGUGUGAUGUGCAUCAGAGCCCAUAGCAAAUGCUUAUGCAGAAGAUCCCAGAUUAUUUUGGCAAGCUUGAUUCUGUCAUAUCCAAUGUUCCAAUAAUGUCUUGUAAUUGUAGUGUUUUUCUAAAAUAGUUCUACUGUAAGCGCUGUUCAUAAAUUGAGAAAUUCCAUCUGCACUUGUGCAUGUUUCCAUACUUAGUCCACCUAAUGAGAACUGCGAGGUUCAUCAUCCUUUGAAAGCUUUCUCAGUAGUAAAUGUGAUCAGAGACACCAGAGCAUUCUCUUGGCUAUCAAUCUGCAGAUAAUAGAAGGUCCAUUUCUUAGGUACACACAGAAAAGGAGAAGAAGAAAUACUGGCUAUGACAUAAAAUGAAUUGUCUUCCUCCAUGCCCUUGUAACCUAGGGCAUGUAGUGCAGGCUGCCAGCCAUCGCUUUGCAGAUUUAGAAGUGCUGGAAUCUCUCUGUCUGUAGCAGGCUGCCUGAUGGAUUGGUGAGUAAUGGACUCAGGGAGUGCAUUACCAGCACCCAGACUAAUGGCUAGCACUUGCCCAUGGCUUUGGCUAUAGAUCAUCCUCUGUGCUAUUCAUAAGCUCUUGCCAGUCUGUCUCUGGCACUCGUGCUGCUGCUGUAACACCGUUUGCCUGAAUCAUUCUGCACCAGCUGCCACACUUCCAGAAGGUGAAGAGGGGAGGAGAGUGAGUACCAGCUCUCACUCUUUGGAGGACAGGUUAAAGGAUAAGGUGAUGGGCAUGAUACUCGCUCACCCAGUGUUGCUAGCACAGUAGCCUGGAAAAUGCAUUUGAGUUUGCUAUUCACCAUGAGGCACUGUCCCACCACUGCCUGAGGAACCUGUGCCUGGGAUCUUUUCUUUCCUAGGCAGACCAAUGUUAUGG
rnacentral:lncRNA from 1 species